rnacentral:misc_RNA from 1 species
UGCGGCUGGAUCCCCUCCUUUCUAGGGAUCGAUGUUUCGGAUUUCUCACGAGUUAUCCCAACAUCGUCACUAGACAAUCGGCGCCUUGCCGCCGCCUACGUUUCCCUUCCGAUUCCGUCAGCUGCCGCGAGCAUUUGGUUCGCGAGCAGGACGAAGCCUCAUCGGGCUUGUAGCUCAGUUGGUUAGAGCGCGCGCUUGAUAAGCGUGAGGUCGGAAGUUCAAGUCUUCCCAGGCCCACCAUCCACCCACGAUCUCAACGACAACAACGGGGCCAUAGCUCAGUUGGGAGAGCGCUAGCUUUGCAAGCUUGAGGUCAUCGGUUCGAUCCCGAUUGGCUCCACCAUUUCCACGUGAUCGUGGAAGUUGGCCAUGGUUGAUCGCCGAUGAGUUCCUUAUGCAGCGACGGAAACGCAAACAGCUUCAGUGCGUGGAAAUGCACUGCAAGAAUUGACAUUGUGAAGGCGGGUUAGCCGGUUCGCACAACCGGUUGAUCUACAAUACGACACUCAAGACUGAUCGCAUGGAAUUCCAUUCCGAAGCGUAAGUCCGGUACGGGGACGUCCCGUGCUGGCUUUGUUUCUGGACAUGGAACGAUUGCUGAGCGAUCAAGCGUUAAAGCAAGGGCAUCUGGGGGAUGCCUUGGCACACACAGGCGAUGAAGGACGUAGCACGCUGCGAUAAGCUGCGGUGAGGGGCGAGCACCCUUUGACCCGCAGAUCUCCGAAUGGGGAAACCCGGAAGGGCG